UUGAACGCUGGCGGCAUGCCUUACACAUGCAAGUUCGAACGGCAGCACGGGAGCAAUCCUGGUGGCGAGUGGCGAACGGGUGAGUAAUAUAUCGGAACGUGCCCAGUCGUGGGGAUAACGUAGACGAAGCUACGCUAAUACCGCAUACGAUCUAUGGAUGAAAGCGGGGGAUCGCAAGACCUCGCGCGAUUGGAGCGGCCGAUAUCAGAUUAGGUAGUUGGUGGGGUAAAAGCCUACCAAGCCUUCGAUCUGUAGCUGGUCUGAGAGGACGACCAGCCACACUGGAACUGAGACACGGUCCAGACUCCUACGGGAGGCAGCAGUGGGGAAUUUUGGACAAUGGGCGCAAGCCUGAUCCAGCAAUGCCGCGUGCAGGAUGAAGGCCUUCGGGUUGUAAACUGCUUUUGUACGGAACGAAACGGUUCUCUCUAAUACAGGGGGCUAAUGACGGUACCGUAAGAAUAAGCACCGGCUAACUACGUG
rnacentral:rRNA from 1 species